CCUACGGGAGGCAGCAGUGGGGAAUAUUGCACAAUGGGGGAAACCCUGAUGCAGCGACGCCGCGUGAGUGAAGAAGUAAUUCGUUAUGUAAAGCUCUAUCAGCAGGGAAGAAAAUGACGGUACCUGAGUAAGAAGCCCCGGCUAACUACGUGCCAGCAGCCGCGGUAAUACGUAGGGGGCAAGCGUUAUCCGGAUUUACUGGGUGUAACGGGAGCGUAGACGGCAGUGCAAGUCUGGAGUGAAAGGCGGGGGCUCAACCCCCGGACUGCUCUGGAAACUGUACGGCUGGAGUGCAGGAGAGGUAAGUGGAAUUCCUAGUGUAGCGGUGAAAUGCGUAGAUAUUAGGAGGAACACCAGUGGCGAAGGCGGCUUACUGGACUGUAACUGACGUUGAGGCUCGAAAGCGUGCGGAGCAAACAGGAUUAGAUACCCCAGUAGUC
rnacentral:rRNA from 1 species